AGAGAAGGGGAAACGAGAGAAGAGGGGGAGCGAGAGGAGGGGGUGAUCAGAGAACGGGAAGGAGAGGAGAGGGGAAGGGAGAGGCGCUACCGGUGGUGACCACAGCCACCGUCGCCGCUGACCUUGAGGGGAAAACGAGAGUGAGAGAGAGACACGUACAGAACGCGUGAUGCGAGGAAGAGAAGGAGCUCAUCUUCGUUGCUGCUGUUGAUGGAAGCUGCCGCUGUCGCUAGAAGGAACCAAACAGGGGGAGGAGAUCACUUUGAUGUUGCCGUAGAGAGGAAGGAAUGGACGCGUGUGAGAAAGGGACGCAACAGAGGAGGAGCCGUUCUUCUGCCGCCGCCGCCUCCGGAAUUCCUGGUCGCCACCGUCGUUCAUGGUGUAUGAUAAUGAAAUUAUGAUCAUGAAGUAAUGAUCAUGUGAAUGUUUGAUUAAUGUGUGGUGAGUAUGGUAGAAUGCUAUUCGUGAAGGAUACAGAUGGUAUACCCCUAAUGCCGGAACAUUUGAAUUGUGCAGAGCGAUUUGUCAUAAGUUGAAGGACUUGUUUUCAAAGCAGUCAACCUUGGUUAGGAAAUAUUGUCAAUUGUAGUGCCUUCUGCUAUGGCUUUGAUAGCUGAUCCUAUUGCUUCACUGGUUGACACAACAUUCAUUGGCUGAAUAGGAAAAUCAUUAUGAAGGUGAGGGAGAACUUAAUCACACAUUGUGAAUAUCAAACACUAGAGAGUAAAAAUUACCAAUUUGUGGAGAUGAUGGGGAGUCUAUUUGCUAUUGUAAUAUAUCAAAUCUCUUGUUUAUGAUUAGAUAUUGUUAUGACUUAAACUUUUAUUAUGUGAUUUUAAAGUAUCUUAGUUUAUUUGACUUUUAAAAUCUUUGUUUUUAUAGGUCACAAACA